rnacentral:miRNA from 1 species
UAUCACAGUUCUUUGUCACCCU